rnacentral:tRNA from 1 species
AUCUUUAUAGUGUAAAAAACACAUAGUCCUUUCAAGACUAAGCUAAACUCUAUUUAAAGACA